rnacentral:rRNA from 1 species
ACGUAGGUGGCGAGCGUUAUUCGGAUUUAUUGGGCGUAAAGGGUUCGUAGGGGGCAGUUUAAGUCGGGUGUGAAAGCCCAAGGCUCAACCUUGGAAUGGCACCCGAGACUGGGCUGCUAGAGGAUCGUAGAGGAGUGUGGAAUUGCUGGUGUAGCGGUGGAAUGCGUGGAUAUCAGCAGGAACACCAACGGCGAAGGCAGCACUCUGGACGACACCUGACCCUGAGGAACGAAAGCUGGGGGAGCAAACAG